rnacentral:rRNA from 1 species
CCUACGGGUGGCUGCAGUGAGGAAUAUUGGUCAAUGGGCGAGAGCCUGAACCAGCCAAGUCGCGUGAGGGAGGAAGGCCCUACGGGUUGUAAACCUCUUUUGCCGGGGGACAAACGGCGGCACGCGUGCCGUCCUGAGGGUACCCGGAGAAAAAACAUCGGCUAACUCCGUGCCAGCAGCCGCGGUAAUACGGAGGAUACGGGCGUUAUCCGGAUUUAUUGGGUUUAAGGGGUGGGUAGGCGGGAGGCCAAGUCAGCGUGCAAAUACGGGGGCUCAACCUGCGUCCGCCGUUGAAACUGGCGUUCUUGAGUGGGCGAGAGGUACGCGGAAUGCGUGGUGUAGCGGUGAAAUGCAUAGAGAUCACGCAGAACCCCGAUUGCGAAGGCAGCGUACCGGCGCCCAACUGACGCUGAAGCACGAAAGCGUGGGUAUCGAACAGGAUUAGAUACCCGUGUAGUC